rnacentral:rRNA from 1 species
AACGAACGCUGGCGGUAUGCUUAACACAUGCAAGUCGAACGAGGUAGCAAUACCUAGUGGCAAACGGGUGAGUAAUACAGAGGAAUCUACCUAGCAGUAAGGAAUAACCCUGAGAAAUCAGGGCUAAUACCAUAUAUUACCCUUCGGGGGAAAGAUUUAUCGCUGUUAGAUGAGCCUCUGCCGGAUUAGCUAGUUGGUAGGGUAAUGGCCUACCAAGGCAAUGAUCCGUAGCUGGUCUGAGAGGAUGAUCAGCCACACUGGAACUGAGACACGGUCCAGACUCCUACGGGAGGCAGCAGUGGGGAAUAUUGGACAAUGGGCGCAAGCCUGAUCCAGCAAUACCGCGUGAGUGAUGAAGGCCCUCGGGUUGUAAACUGCUUUUGUACGGAACGAAAAGGUCUCUCUUAAUACGGGGGGCUCAUGACGGUACCGUAAGAAUAAGCACCGGCUAACUACGUGCCAGCCGCCGCGGUAA